AGACAGAUCUCUGCACCCACAUUGGCUCCAGUUGACUUCAAUGUGGCUCGAUAAGCAGAGGGGUCCAACUGCAGAAUUGGGGUCCCCAUUUGAAGACAAGGGGUUCCAACUGAAAUGUCUCUUAUUUCUUUGCAGAGUCAAGACCAGCUGAAAGGGAAAACAUGGACUUUCCUAAACUGGUCAUAGAUGACAAGAUUCUCAUGGACAUUCUUGUUCUUGCCCUCAUGCUCAUAGCCAUUGGGAUUGCUUUCCUCAUUUAUCAUCGCAAAGAAAACAUAGAGCCGUCCAAACUGCUGCUAGCUGAGAUCAUUCUCCUGAUCAUUGCUGUAAUUUCCCUCUUCGGUCUCAACAUCAUCGGAAC